UACGUAGGGCGCAAGCGUUAUCCGGAAUUAUUGGGCGUAAAGAGCUCGUAGGCGGUUUGUCGCGUCGAAUGUGAAACCCGGGGCUCAACCCCGGGCCUGCAUUCGAUACGGGCAGACUAGAGUUCGGUAGGGGAGUCUGGAAUUCCUGGUGUAGCGGUGAAAUGCGCAGAUAUCAGGAGGAACACCGGUGGCGAAGGCGGGACUCUGGGCCGAUGACUGACGCUGAGGAGCGAAAGCGUGGGGAGCAAACAGG
rnacentral:rRNA from 1 species